GGGAUGUUAGCUCAGUUGGUAGAGCGUCGCCCUUACAAGGCGAAUGUCGGGGGUUCAAAUCCCUCACAUCCCACCA
rnacentral:tRNA from 2 species